UAGAGUUUGAUCAUGGCUCAGGAUGAACGCUAGCGACAGGCUUAACACAUGCAAGUCGAGGGGCAGCGGUGGUGAAGGCUUGCCUUUACCAGCCGGCGACCGGCGCACGGGUGAGUAACACGUAUGCAACCUGCCUGCCACAGCCGGAUAAUCGGGAGAAAUUCCGUCUAAUACGGCAUAAUGCACCUAUGGGACAUCCUGUUGGUGCCAAAGGUUAAUUCCGGUGGCGGAUGGGCAUGCGUCGCAUUAGUUAGUUGGCGGUGUAACGGACCACCAAGACGACGAUGCGUAGGGGUUCUGAGAGGAAGGUCCCCCACACUGGUACUGAGACACGGACCAGACUCCUACGGGAGGCAGCAGUGAGGAAUAUUGGUCAAUGGGCGGGAGCCUGAACCAGCCAAGUCGCGUGAGGGAUGACGGCCCUAUGGGUUGCAAACCUCUUUUGCCGGGGAGCAAAGUGCCGCACGUGUGCGGUUUGGAGAGUACCCGGAGAAAAAGCAUCGGCUAACUCCGUGCCAGCAGCCGCGGUAAUACGGAGGAUGCGAGCGUUAUCCGGAUUUAUUGGGUUUAAAGGGUGCGUAGGCGGACGCUUAAGUCAGCGGUAAAAUUGCGGGGCUCAACCUCGUCGAGCCGUUGAAACUGGGUGCCUUGAGUGGGCGAGAAGUACGCGGAAUGCGUGGUGUAGCGGUGAAAUGCAUAGAUAUCACGCAGAACUCCGAUUGCGAAGGCAGCGUACCGGCGCCCAACUGACGCUGAAGCACGAAGGCGUGGGUAUCGAACAGGAUUAGAUACCCUGGUAGUCCACGCAGUAAACGAUGAAUGCUAGUUGUCCGGGGCGAUUGAGUUCUGGGUGACACAGCGAAAGCGUUAAGCAUUCCACCUGGG
rnacentral:rRNA from 1 species